CUACGGGUUGCAGCAGUGAGGAAUAUUGCACAAUGGGGGCAACCCUGAUGCAGCAAUGCCGCGUGGAUGAUGAAGGCUUUCGAGUUGUAAAAUCCUUUUCGGGGUGAAGAGAGAGGACGGUAGCCCCGGAAUAAGUCCCGGCUAACUACGUGCCAGCAGCCGCGGUAAAACGUAGGGGGCGAGCGUUAUCCGGAAUUACUGGGCGUAAAGCGCAUGCAGGCGGAUGGGUAAGAUAGACGUGAAAGCUCCCGGCUUAACUGGGAGAGGACGGAUAUGACUGCCAGCCUUGAGUGAGGUAGAGGAGAGCGGAAUUCCCGGUGUAGUGGUGGAAUGCGUAGAGAUCGGGAGGAACACCAGUGGCGAAAGCGGCUCUCUGGGCCUUAACUGACGCUCAGAUGCGAAAGCGUGGGUAGCGAACGGGAUUAGAUACCCCUGUAGUC
rnacentral:rRNA from 1 species